GAUGAAGAACGCAGCGAAAUGCGAUAAGUAAUGUGAAUUGCAGAAUUCAGUGAAUCAUCGAGUCUUUGAACGCACAUUGCGCCCCCCGGUAUUCCGGGGGGCAUGCCUGUCCGAGCGUCAUUGCCGCCCUCAAGCACGGCUUGUGUGUUGGGCCCCCGCCCCCCGGCUUCGGGGGGCGGGCCCGAAAGGCAGCGGCGGCACCGCGUCCGGUCCUCGAGCGUAUGGGGCUUCGUCACCCGCUCUGUAGGCCCGGCCGGCGCCCGCCGGCGACCCCAAUCAAUCUUUCCAGGUUGACCUCGGAUCAGGUAGGGAUACCCGCUGAACUUAAGCAUAUCAAUAAGCGGAGGA
rnacentral:misc_RNA from 1 species